GGCAUCUUCAUGCAGGGUCUCCUGGGAGCAGUGUGAGCGUGCUGUAAGUUAUUUGCAUCGUGCUCAUCCUAUGCUGUGAGGAUGGAAGAGGCUCAGGCAGCGCGGUGAGGGGCUCUGAAGGGUGUAUGGUCUGCUAGCUGGCGUGGGGACCGCGAGAGCCUUCAGGAAAGGAAAGAGGAGGAUACGAUUUCAUGCUGCUUCACUUCUGUGGUUUCUUUUGUUUUGUCUCUUUCUUGAGUAUAGCGUAUGGACAGCGCCGUGGGUUAGGGAGCACUGCGUCUUCAGAGGCUUUUCCUAUAUAGCCUUCCACUGAAGUCAAUGGGCGUGGAGAUCUGUUUGUAGCUGUUGGAAGAGUGCAAGCAGUGAGUAUCAGCGUGGGAGACUUCACCAGUACUGCAUGAGCACUUGCCACUGCUGUCAAACAUUGCCAGCCCUGUUAUGGCCAAUUCAAAUACGACUUCACUGUUGAUCUGUGAGUUGAGUGGGGUUUGAGUGUAGGGCUGAAUGUCCCUGAGUGAAGUGUUUGUGCUCCCGAUGCUCAGCACCUCUUGCUCUGCUGUGAUUUAUUUGUUGUACCAGUUCUGGUGUAGUCUGC
rnacentral:lncRNA from 1 species